rnacentral:rRNA from 1 species
GGGUUGUGAGGUUAAGCGACUAAGCGUACACGGUGGAUGCCCUGGCAGUCAGAGGCGAUGAAGGACGUGCUAAUCUGCGAAAAGCGCCGGCGAGGUGAUAUGAACCUUUGACCCGGCGAUGUCCGAAUGGGGAAACCCAGUGUGAUUCGUCACACUAUCGUUAACUGAAUACAUAGGUUAACGAGGCGAACCGGGGGAACUGAAACAUCUAAGUACCCCGAGGAAAAGAAAUCAACCGAGAUUCCCCCAGUAGCGGCGAGCGAACGGGGAGCAGCCCAGAGUCUGAAUCAGCUUGUGUGUUAGUGGAAGCGUCUGGAAAGUCGCACGGUACAGGGUGACAGUCCCGUACACGAAAGCACACAGGUUGUGAACUCGAAGAGUAGGGCGGGACACGUGGUAUCCUGUCUGAAUAUGGGGGGACCAUCCUCCAAGGCUAAAUACUCCUGACUGACCGAUAGUGAACCAGUACCGUGAGGGAAAGGCGAAAAGAACCCCGGCGAGGGGAGUGAAAAAGAACCUGAAACCGUGUACGUACAAGCAGUGGGAGCACCUUCGUGGUGUGACUGCGUACCUUUUGUAUAAUGGGUCAGCGACUUAUAUUCUGUAGCAAGGUUAACCGUAUAGGGGAGCCGAAGGGAAACCGAGUCUUAACUGGGCGUUAAGUUGCAGGGUAUAGACCCGAAACCCGGUGAUCUAGCCAUGGGCAGGUUGAAGGUUGGGUAACACUAACUGGAGGACCGAACCGACUAAUGUUGAAAAAUUAGCGGAUGACUUGUGGCUGGGGGUGAAAGGCCAAUCAAACCGGGAGAUAGCUGGUUCUCCCCGAAAGCUAUUUAGGUAGCGCCUCGUGAACUCAUCUUCGGGGGUAGAGCACUGUUUCGGCUAGGGGGCCAUCCCGGCUUACCAACCCGAUGCAAACUACGAAUACCGAAGAAUGUUAUCACGGGAGACACACGGCGGGUGCUAACGUCCGUCGUGAAGAGGGAAACAACCCAGACCGCCAGCUAAGGUCCCAAAGUCAUGGUUAAGUGGGAAACGAUGUGGGAAGGCACAGACAGCCAGGAUGUUGGCUUAGAAGCAGCCAUCAUUUAAAGAAAGCGUAAUAGCUCACUGGUCGAGUCGGCCUGCGCGGAAGAUGUAACGGGGCUAAACCAUGCACCGAAGCUGCGGCAGCGACGCUUAUGCGUUGUUGGGUAGGGGAGCGUUCUGUAAGCCGUUGAAGGUGGCCUGUGAGGGUUGCUGGAGGUAUCAGAAGUGCGAAUGCUGACAUAAGUAACGAUAAAGCGGGUGAAAAGCCCGCUCGCCGGAAGACCAAGGGUUCCUGUCCAACGUUAAUCGGGGCAGGGUGAGUCGACCCCUAAGGCGAGGCCGAAAGGCGUAGUCGAUGGGAAACAGGUUAAUAUUCCUGUACUUGGUGUUACUGCGAAGGGGGGACGGAGAAGGCUAUGUUAGCCGGGCGACGGUUGUCCCGGUUUAAGCAUGUAGGCGGAACGAUUAGGUAAAUCCGGUCGUUUUUUAACGCUGAGGUGUGAUGACGAGGCACUACGGUGCUGAAGUAACAAAUGCCCUGCUUCCAGGAAAAGCCUCUAAGCAUCAGGUAACACGAAAUCGUACCCCAAACCGACACAGGUGGUCAGGUAGAGAAUACCAAGGCGCUUGAGAGAACUCGGGUGAAGGAACUAGGCAAAAUGGUGCCGUAACUUCGGGAGAAGGCACGCUGAUAUGUAGGUGAAGCCCCUGCGGGUGGAGCUGAAAUCAGUCGAAGAUACCAGCUGGCUGCAACUGUUUAUUAAAAACACAGCACUGUGCAAACACGAAAGUGGACGUAUACGGUGUGACGCCUGCCCGGUGCCGGAAGGUUAAUUGAUGGGGUUAGCGGCAACGCGAAGCUCUUGAUCGAAGCCCCGGUAAACGGCGGCCGUAACUAUAACGGUCCUAAGGUAGCGAAAUUCCUUGUCGGGUAAGUUCCGACCUGCACGAAUGGCGUAAUGAUGGCCAGGCUGUCUCCACCCGAGACUCAGUGAAAUUGAACUCGCUGUGAAGAUGCAGUGUACCCGCGGCAAGACGGAAAGACCCCGUGAACCUUUACUAUAGCUUGACACUGAACACUGGUCCUUGAUGUGUAGGAUAGGUGGGAGGCUUUGAAGCGUGGACGCCAGUCUGCGUGGAGCCGUCCUUGAAAUACCACCCUUUAAUGGCUGGUGUUCUAACGUAGACCCGUGAUCCGGGUUGCGGACAGUGUCUGGUGGGUAGUUUGACUGGGGCGGUCUCCUCCCAAAGAGUAACGGAGGAGCACGAAGGUUAGCUAAUCCUGGUCGGACAUCAGGAGGUUAGUGCAAUGGCAUAAGCUAGCUUGACUGCGAGAGUGACGGCUCGAGCAGGUGCGAAAGCAGGUCAUAGUGAUCCGGUGGUUCUGAAUGGAAGGGCCAUCGCUCAACGGAUAAAAGGUACUCCGGGGAUAACAGGCUGAUACCGCCCAAGAGUUCAUAUCGACGGCGGUGUUUGGCACCUCGAUGUCGGCUCAUCACAUCCUGGGGCUGAAGUAGGUCCCAAGGGUAUGGCUGUUCGCCAUUUAAAGUGGUACGCGAGCUGGGUUUAGAACGUCGUGAGACAGUUCGGUCCCUAUCUGCCGUGGGCGCUGGAGAAUUGAGGGGGGCUGCUCCUAGUACGAGAGGACCGGAGUGGACGCAUCACUGGUGUUCGGGUUGUCAUGCCAAUGGCACUGCCCGGUAGCUAAAUGCGGAAAAGAUAAGUGCUGAAAGCAUCUAAGCACGAAACUUGCCCCGAGAUGAGUUCUCCCUGACCCUUUAAGGGUCCUGAAGGAACGUUGAAGACGACGACGUUGAUAGGUCGGGUGUGUAAGCGCAGCGAUGCGUUGAGCUAACCGAUACUAAUGAACCGUGAGGCUUAACCUUACAACGCCGAAGGUGUUU